ACGACGCUGAUUGGUAGUGUUGCUGGGCAACUGCAGUGGAUUAAACCAAAAUGGCGCUAUUGCCAAAGCACGCAUUGCAGUGCUACUUAUUUUCGCUGCCUGCCCAAAAAAGGUCACCACUUGGAUUUAACUAGGCAAAUAGAUGGCACAGGCAUAUUCCAGGAUGACAAUGCCAGGAUUCAUCGGCCUCAAAUAGUCAGAGAUUGGUUCAGGAAACGUACGACAUCAUUUUCACACAUGGAUUGGCCACCACAGAGUCCAGACCUUAACCCCAUCCAGGAUCUUUGGGAUGUGCUGGAGAAGACUUUAUGCAGUGGUUCCACUAUCGCUACAAGAUCUUGGUACUCCUCUCUGAAUGGCCAGGUGACGUGAGACAUGGGUACGCAAGGUCAAAACACUGUUGAAAGGUGGCCGGGAAGGUUUGACAGCACAUGAACACUUGGCAGAAGACAAAUAAAGGUGUGGAAAGGUCUGUAAGCGAUAACACUAUAGAAAGAAAUUAUCAUCAUCCACUGAGGAUCGUCAACUAACCAAUGAUCUGAAUACCGUCUGCUUCUGAUUUGAAAGGACUGUUCAUGCCCAUUUCCUGUCCACCAUUCACUCCCCCACCCCCCAUACAGCCAUUGUCCCCUUCAUUGACCCCCUUCACCAUCUAUCUGUGAAAAAGGUGAACAGCCCUGAGCCUGUUGGUGCAUCUUCAGUCUCCUUGAAAUACCGUGCUGAUCAGUUAGUACUGCUUCUCAUAGACAUCUUCAGUCAAUCCCUACCCUUCAUCAUUGUCCCAGCCUGCUCCAAAAGUUCAGCAAUCAUACCAGUCCCCAAAAAACCAAGAUUUCAAGGCACGAACGAUAACAGACCGGUUGCCCUGACAUCCGUAGUCAUGAAGAGUCUUGAGAGACUUAUGAUUGUCUAUGUAAAAUACAACACAGUCCCUCUACAGUUGAAGUAAAGGACAAUCAAGUAUGCAGGCCAUGCAGUCGACUUCAUCUGAAUAAAGUUACGUUAAAACCAA